rnacentral:lncRNA from 1 species
AUCCUGGAGACCUGGCUUCUCCAGUACCCAGGAGACUUUUGCCAGUGCCCAGACAUGGCCAGCCUCAAGCAGCUCAUGGACUAUGCCCUACUGAACCUUCCAGAUUCAGACAUCAUCCUGCAAGUGGGCAGACUUAGGCCUAAUUUAGAGUUUGCUAAGAGGGAUCCCUUCCAGAGUGGCUGAUCCCAACCAGGGAUCAGGACAAUUGCAGGACAAUUUAGACCACCUCACCUUGCAGGACUUCAAUUGCAAGUCUCCCUCCCUCCCCUGGAAAUGUUGCCUUUUGAUUUUUUUCCUGGUUUCAUUUAUCUGUAGUUAUUUUCUGUUAAACAUUAAUAAAAUUUUAUUGUAACAUAAAAUAGGACUGUCCCUCUAUUUUA